AUACGGAGGAUCCGAGCGUUAUCCGGAUUUAUUGGGUUUAAAGGGUGCGCAGGCGGCCAUUUAAGUCAGCGGUUAAGUCGUGGGGCUCAACCCCAUUCUGCCGUUGAUACUGGGUGGCUUGAUUGCGGUCGAGGUUGGCGGAAUUCGUUGUGUAGCGGUGAAAUGCAUAGAUAUGACGAAGAACACCGAUUGCGUAGGCAGCUGACCAGACCGCAAAUGACGCUCAUGCACGAAAGUGCGGGGAUCGAACAGGAUUAGAUACCCUGGUAGUCCGCACAGUAAACGAUGAAUACUUGUUUUCGGCGAUAUAAUGUCAGAGGCAAAGCGAAAGCGAUAAGUAUUCCACCUGGGGAGUACGCCGGCAACGGUGAAACUCAAAUGAAUUGACGGGG
rnacentral:rRNA from 1 species